UCGGGGGCCGGCCGGGGCGGUGGGCGCGGGCUCCGCAGCGGUGCCGGGAGCCGUGUCUGAGGUCCCCUUCGGUGGAGCUGAGGCCGUUUUGGUGCGCUUUGCGUGGUCCCCGUGUAACGCAAGUGCUGCUGGAUUUGCCGAGACCCCAGGCUGCGAGACGUUCUGUCUCGAUUGCUCUGGGCUACCCCCGUUUCCAGCCCCGUUUCCAGGCCAGGACGGUUUGGGCUGCACAGGCGGGGCGUUCCCUGGACGCGGGGACGUGGUCUUGGCACCCAAACCCACAGACUGGAUGACCCACGGACUGUCAGCCGUUCCUGGGGCUCUCCAAAGAGGGGGCGCAGGGAGGAGAGGCUGGUUACUGCCCUAAUCGUGUUUCUUCUGGUUCCCAGCUUCGGGUAUCGGCAGUUACUCUGAAGAAUGCUUUCUGCUGCUUCCUUCAAAAACCCAAGAGCUGCAGCUGGUUCCCAGUGGGGCCGGAGCUGGGGGGGAUCGCGUCCCCCAUGCUGCUGGGGGCAAGCGGGACUGGGACCAGAACUGGUGCAGCGGUUCUUCAGGUCACCCAAACAAGAAGAGCCUGUCUGUAGGCGUUCUGGCCCAAACAGAGUGUUUUAUUGUGCCGUGUCCAUCUCCGAGCCCUCCCCGUCCGUGUGCCUGACCCGGCAGCCCCUCAGCCGCUGGCUUUUUGCCGGGAGCCCGCAAGCGACCGCGGGCAGACGCGGCGCUGGCUGUCGGCCGCGACGUUUCCCGGCUGCGGGAGCUGCCGUCGCCGCGCUGCCUGCGCUCUGGCAGCUCCCCGGGGCUCUGCUGCGUGCCGGGCAUGAGGGCUGCUUGCUCACGGGGCUGCCGGCAUCGGGGCAGCCGCGGCUCGGGGGAACUGGCCGACGCCAUGGCUGCUCCCAGCACUGAGUGAUGAGGCUGUGGGGUUUUACUGGAGACGUGGGUAGUGCUCGUGCUGAAGUAAAACAAACUGAAGGAUGGCCGAGCCCCGCACUCGAGGACUUUGCUUUGUGGAAGCUGAGAGCUGUCCCUGAAGGAUAAAGGACACCCCGGGACAUCCGAGGUAACGCCACCAUCCCAGCCCUUCUGACGCGGCUUUGAAACCCUCCCGGCAUCGGCUGGCGGCACGGAGAAGUGACUCUGGCAAGACGGACUCCGGGGCCGUCUGGAUCCACAGACAAGCAGCAAGAACGCUGCAGAAAUCGAGUUGCUGUGCCGAGUUUUUCUGUGAGCAGGAAUCCUUAGUGUGGGUGCCAGCGAUGAGCCGAACGUUUGAAGGGUGCGAGAGCUCCGGGUAAACCCACGUUUGGGAUGCCCCGAUGUGGCUGAGACGCCUCAAGCGCACGGAUAAGUAUUUUCUCUUGUGAUUCUGUGCUUUGCGUCCCAGGCUCUCUCCUGCGUCAGCACAGGCCAGUUGUGGAUUCACUGACAGGAGCUGAGCCCCCCUUCCCAGCCGGGUACCCCAUCCUGGGCGCUCGGUUCCCGCUCCGCUCUGGGGCAGGCGCGCGGGGCAGCCGGGGGCGAGCGGUCCCUUUCCCUCUCCCCCCCGGUGCGGGACCCGCCGUGGGUGCCCGGCUGGGACCCGGUGACCUCCCCGGUGGGUUUGGGCACCGACCCUCUGGGGUCCGGGGCAGCAGCUACAGCUCGGCCUGUGGGGCUGGGGGUCCCCGGCAGCUCCGCAUUUCGGCCGCGGGAUCAAGGCCUGCUCAAAGUAUGAACUGGCAGCGGCUGUACGGGCUCCACAGGCCGGACUCCCGCCCGGUCCAGUCCCCGACAAGAGGGGCUCCUGUCCGCCUCCGAACCCGCCGCAGAGGGGCCGCAGCCGUGGAGAAGCCGCGGAGGGGCCUUCGCACAGCCGCCAGUGGACCUCGCACGCCUGCCCGCAGCCCGGGGGACGGACGGACAGACGAGCCCCAGCCACGCCGGGAGCGGAGCCCCAGGAAGAAGCUGAGCUGCCUGCGCCUGCCCGGGGACUGUGCGGCUCCAGGUCAGUGUGGUUUCGGGUCGGUUGUUUGGGCCCCCAUUUGUUUUUGUUAGUUUGUUGGUUCAGGCUCCCGUUUGUUUGCAGGUCCAGCUCAUGGACAGCUCCAGUUUCUUUGUGGCACCAGUUUGUUUCUGCCCUGGUUUCGGAUCCAGCUCAUGUGCAGCUCCAGGUGGGUUGUUUCUGCCCCUGUUGAUGUUGGCUCCCCCCCCCCCCGUUUUCAGCUCCGGCUCAUUUGCACCUUCAGCUCAUUUGUUUCUGCCUCCAUUCAUUUCAGGCCCAGCUCCACCUUCAGGUUGGUUGUUUCUGCCCCGGCUCAUGGAUGGCGCUGCCUUGUUCCAGCUCCAGCUCAUCUGUUUCUGCCCCGGCUCAUGGACGGCUCCAGCUGGUUCGGGCUUCCAGCAUGUUAUAGACUCCAGUUGGUUUGAGCUCCAGCUCCAGCUCGUGCUUGUUAAAACGAUCUUGGCUUUUGGCAAGGUCGUAAAUCAAUCACUGUCAUGACUUGAAUAUGAAUAUUAAAUGUCAUAACUGUACAGGCA